AUUGAACGCUGGCGGCAGGCCUAACACAUGCAAGUCGAGCGGAUGAAGGGAGCUUGCUCCUGGAUUCAGCGGCGGACGGGUGAGUAAUGCCUAGGAAUCUGCCUGGUAGUGGGGGAUAACGUCCGGAAACGGGCGCUAAUACCGCAUACGUCCUGAGGGAGAAAGUGGGGAAUCUUCGGACCUCACGCUAUCAGAUGAGCCUAGGUCGGAUUAGCUAGUUGGUGGGGUAAAGGCCUACCAAGGCGACGAUCCGUAACUGGUCUGAGAGGAUGAUCAGUCACACUGGAACUGAGACACGGUCCAGAUUCCUACGGGAGGCAGCAGUGGGGAAUAUUGGACAAUGGGCGAAAGCCUGAUCCAGCCAUGCCGCGUGUGUGAAGAAGGUCUUCGGAUUGUAAAGCACUUUAAGUUGGGAGGAAGGGCAGUAAGUUAAUACCUUGCUGUUUUGACGUUACCAACAGAAUAAGCACCGGCUAACUUCGUG
rnacentral:rRNA from 1 species